rnacentral:tRNA from 1 species
AGUUGUUUAGCUUAUAAUAAAGUAUUUACUUUGAAAGUAAAAGAAAGAUAUAGACAUUUAACAUCUU